UAGCAUAUCAAUAAGCGGAGGAAAAGAAACCAACAGGGAUUACCUCAGUAACGGCGAGUGAAGCGGUAACAGCUCAAAUUUGAAAUCUGGCCUCACGGUCCGAGUUGUAAUUUGUAGAGGAUGCUUCGAGCAUGGUCUGGCCUAAGUUCCUUGGAACAGGACGUCAUAGAGGGUGAGAAUCCCGUAUGCGGCCAGGUGCCUACGCUCAUGUGAAGCUCCUUCGACGAGUCGAGUUGUUUGGGAAUGCAGCUCAAAAUGGGUGGUAAAUUUCAUCUAAAGCUAAAUAUUGGCCAGAGACCGAUAGCGCACAAGUAGAGUGAUCGAAAGAUGAAAAGCACUUUGGAAAGAGAGUUAAACAGUACGUGAAAUUGUUGAAAGGGAAGCGCUUGCAACCAGACUUGCGCGCGGCCGAUCAUCCGGUGUUCUCACCGGUGCACUCGGCCGUGCUCAGGCCAGCAUCGGUUUUGGCGGCUGGAUAAAGGCCCUAGGAAUGUAGCUCCUCUCGGGGAGUGUUAUAGCCUAGGGUGCAAUGCAGCCUGCUGGGACCGAGGACCGCGCUUCGGCUAGGAUGCUGGCGUAAUGGUUGUAAGCGGCCCGUCUUGAAACACGGACCAAGGAGUCUAACAUCUAUGCGAGUGUUUGGGUGUCAAACCCAUACGCGUAAUGAAAGUGAACGGAGGUGAGAACCCUUAAGGGUGCAUCAUCGACCGGUCCUGAAGUUUACGGAAGGAUCUGAGUAAGAGCAUAGCUGUUGGGACCCGAAAGAUGGUGAACUAUGCCUGAAUAGGGUGAAGCCAGAGGAAACUCUGGUGGAGGCUCGCAGCGGUUCUGACGUGCAAAUCGAUCGUCAAAUUUGGGUAUAGGGGCGAAAGACUAAUCGAACCAUCUAGUAGCUGGUUCCUGCCGAU
rnacentral:rRNA from 1 species